AACCUUAAAGGCGAUUAUUACGCAGAUAGAAAAGACCGACACGGAAUGGACCCCCACCAUCAUCCUGGUUCAUAAAACCACCGCCACAACAAACGCGCCCCAUCCGUAGCCCAAUCAGUGUCGAGGUUUUGCCGCUGCUGCUCUUCUUCGGCGAAUCUGCGAGCGGCCGAAGAGAGAGAAAAAGUUCGCCGAGAUGUUCGAGCUGUUCGUCCUUGGGUGCACCGGCGUGGUGGUCUUCCUACACGGCGCCAACUUUUUCUUCCGCGCCCUGUCCCACCGUCUCACCGCCCGUCCUCUCAGCUUCUUGGGAGUCGGGUGGUGGUAGGGCUUCGGUCGCGGAAGAAUCCGUGGUGAUUCCUCCUCCAUGCGCCACACGACUCAUGAUCUGAGUCUGUCCAUGAAUUAAUCGACGAAGGCGAAGCAUGUAAUCAUUGUAGAAAGACUCUGACCAACUAUAAUUUGGUGUCUUUAUCGUGAAUGGAGAUCUACUAUUCUACAGUUUAAA